rnacentral:lncRNA from 1 species
UGAACUUUGCUGUGAGAACCAAGUAUCUAGGGUUCAGGCAUAGUACAGACUCUGAGCAGCACUGCCAUGAAGAAACCUGCAUGGGGCAGAAGGCUCCAAGACAUGGGGCUAGUGGUGGGGUGUUCUGAGAAGUGUGUAGGCACCUGGCUUUUCACCUCUGUGGUUUUUGCCAAGGUUUUGGGGACAGAAGACACCAAGGUGGCCUGAGGCUGCUUAAAAUUCAAUGAGGAGACAGUUGAGAUAGAAGUGACACAAGGGCUCCUGCUGUGUGUGUCACUCAUGGGCAUUAGAACCAGAACUUCAAGGUGGCCUCUAUGGUGUAUUCUUGUUCCCCUCUGCGCCUAUGUCACUUCCUGUUUGAUGCUGUCUGUCCCACCUCCCAUCUAGAAAUGGGCCUUCUUGCUUGCCCUCUGAGCACAGCACUUACACAUUCUGGCAACUCACUGAAAGUGUUUGACUUUCAUCUGUGGGAUGUGAAAAUGAGCAUGGGACUUCUAAAGGAGCCAGGAAGAUGGACAGAUGAUGCCACCUUGCAAAACAAACAUCCAUGCACAAAACACAAGACACUCCAACUGCGAAUAAUGAGCAUUGCCACAGCCCUUCAUGUGGCCUGGCUCACCUGCUCACAAAACUCCAAGCUUGCUCUUCAUGGGCAACGCUAAGGGCUAUCAAUCCCUGGGCUGUCCAGCACCAAGCCUAACACAGUCCCCUCCUCACU